rnacentral:rRNA from 1 species
CCUACGGGUGGCUGCAGUGAGGAAUAUUGGUCAAUGGGCGGAAGCCUGAACCAGCCAAGUAGCGUGAAGGAUGACGGCCCUAGGGGUUGUAAACUCCUUUUAUAGGGGAAAAAAGAGCCGUAUGUCUACGGCUUUGCAUGUACCAUAUGAAUAAGGACCGGCUAACUUCGUGCCAGCAGCCGCGGUAAUACGGAGGUUCCGGGCGUUAUCCGGGUUUAUUGGGUGUAAAGGGAGCGUAGGCGGACUGUCAAGCCAGAUGUGAAAUUUCCGGGCUCAACCGUGGAAUUGCAGUGGAUACUGGCGAUCGUGAGUGCGGGAGAGGCAGGCGGAAUUCGUGGUGUAGCGGUGAAAUGCGUAGAUAUGACGAGGAACCCCGGUUGCGAAGGCAGCUUGCUGGACCGUAACUGACGCUGAUGCUCGAAAGCGUGGGUAUCAAACAGGAUUAGAUACCCUGGUAGUC